CACGCCUGCCUGCCGCUGCUGGGGGGCGGGGCCCGAGCUGAUGUCACGUGGUGUCCGAUCCAUACCCGGAAGUGCACCAGAAGCAGAAAGCAGCGUCCCAGUGCCGGGCCCCGCACUCAGCGCAGUUCCAGCUUCACCACAGCUACAGCCAAGGCAAUCCCAGCCCCAAGGAACCACACAGCACAAGGAAACCUUCAAGGCAAGAUCUCUAUAAAGACAACCAAAGUCUUCACCUAACACCAGCUCCAGCUCCACCACCACUCCUAUCAAACGCUAUCCCAGGACACAUUAGCUUCAGACUACAAACCCUGAUAAAAAAUGCAAACAUGUCUACUUCAACUCACAGGGACCUACAUCGACUAUCUACUUCUUGUGGUGAUGAAAAUUGCUCCAAGGAUGAAGUUACAGCUGUUUGAUCCCACUAGAGACAUAAAGAUCCUACAACAAGAAGACCAAUGGGUUGUUAAACCUGGGCAAUAUUUUAGAGGAUUCAAGAGAAAAUCGUCUUUUCAAGAGAAUGAGUACCUUCUUAAAAGGAUAUGAAGGAGAUUUGUGUCAGAAACCAUAUUGGACAGUAAUUAUCCUAAUAUUAGUAAAAAAAUCCAUUAACUUUCAGAAACAUGUUGGGAGUUUCUUUUCCAUUCCUUUCAAAAAAGGAGAGUUCAUCUCUGUCAUGUUUUACUAGCUGUUCUAAUUCCAGCACCAGUAUUUUUUUUUGUUUACACAAGCUCAUGUGUGCAGCUGUGUAUUGAUGGUGUUCUGCUGUUCUGUAUGCUGUAAGAUGUGUUUAUGACAACAGUGCUUUUUCUUAAACAAAUAUGUCAUUAUUUCUGAAAUAUUCAGCUGUUUUUUGGCUAUAUUUGGAGUUCAUCUGUUUGUGAAGUUAUUUGUGAACUGCAUUAAUUCUAUUUUAUGUUUAAAUGUGUUAAGUCUUCUGUUAAUAGAACGAUUAUUUUUAGGGUGAAAUCUUUAAUAUAUUCCCUUUAUUGUCCUUUAAUGUUUUCCCCAAAGUUGUUAUUAAGCAAAGGAACACAUUGGUACAGCUACAAGGCAGCCUAUGCACAAUUCAAAAAUAGCUAAGUUCAAGUGAGCAAACCAGUGUGAAUUCAUUAAAUAGUGACAUUAUUUUACUUACUGUAUUAAUGGCUGUUCUCUUGACUAUCAUUCUAUUUGCUGGUCUGAAAACAGACAAAAUCUCUACACCAGUUUCAAACAAGCAGUUUCAAACCUGCCCCUAUGCUGCUUAUGAGUAGCACUGCAUCUAUCCAGCCCCAACCUACUCACACGUAUUUCACCAGUGAAAGCAGAAGCUAUUCCAGUGAAACAUCUAAGUGCCCUGUUUAAAUUAUGCUUAGAACCCUUCCAGCUUCAAAUGGUAAGAUAUAAAUUUUGUGGUUCUAUAUGUGGAUGAUGAAGAAACCCUAGUGAAACCACUGCAGCUUGACUUUAGAAAUGGCUGUGGUUUAAGAAAAUACUUGCAGCUCAUACAGAGGAUUGACAGCCAUAGGAAAGACCACAUACGUUCUCAGUCAACAGGGAGUAGUUCACCGCUGGCUAUAACAUGUUUACUUUCAGCCUGUGUAAAGUUUUGUGUGGGGGUCUCCAGGUCUCAAAGAGACAAGAGCAGUUGUCAGUUCCAGUAAAGCUGUUUAUUGUAUGAAUGCAUCAGUCUCGAAGGCAGAGAGUUCAGAGUAUUAAAGUCCAUGCUAAAAGCUUUCUGGCAUAGGGUCCCAAUAUGUUGAGCAGCAGCUGGCAUAAAGUUCCCUUGAUCUAGAUGGCAGCAGAAGCAGUUUUUUCUUCUUUCUGUGUUGUGAUGUUUAUGAUGAUCUGUUGUUGUCCUUCUUCCUCUUCUUUGUGGUGUGAUCUCUCUUUUUCACCCCAAUACAGGGGAUUGUACUGGAUUAAUAAAUCAUCCAAUCAGCUAAAAACA
ensembl:lncRNA